AUUUUACCAUAAUUUUGGAGUAUAAAAAAGGGAACAAGAAUAAUAAGUCACAUUGGUCUUCACAAAUUUCUCACAUCCUCGUUACAUCCACUAUUCCGAUUGAUUUCAGGGACAUGAAACAGUAAACAGUUAUCAGGUAUUCACAAAAGAGACUCAAUUAACACUUG
rnacentral:ribozyme from 1 species